AUUCCUAAAUGACUGCUUCCUAGUUGUCUCUAUUCAGUGCAGUGGUAGACUAUAAAUUAUUAAAACUGAACAGCAAAAGUCCAAGACAUGUAAUUGAUUUUUUUACCCUCUUCAGCUUAGAACUCAUACAAUAGGAAAUGUACAUACAUUCAGAUUUUUUUCCCUCACUAGUUAUGUUGUUGGUUUGAUUUCAAUAAUAGUAAACUCACAGGAUUUUGAUAUAGUAACGCAUACUAUCAAAAUUAUAGUUUUGAAAGAAUGUGGCCCUUAUAGUUUUAUAUAAAGAUUCUGAUUGAGAUACUUAAACAUCUGAUAUUAAAUCUAUUCUAGGAAGUACAAGUAGUACUAGUGGUAGCAGUGGAAGCUCAACUAAAAAUAUCUGGGUUAGUGGACUUUCAUCUAAUACCAAAGCUGCUGAUUUGAAGAACCUCUUUGGCAAAUAUGGAAAGGUUCUGAGUGCAAAAGUAGUUACAAAUGCUCGAAGUCCUGGGGCAAAAUGCUAUGGCAUUGUAACUAUGUCUUCAAGCACAGAGGUGUCCAGGUGUAUUGCACAUCUUCAUCGCACUGAGCUGCAUGGACAGCUGAUUUCUGUUGAAAAAGUAAA
rnacentral:sRNA from 1 species